rnacentral:lncRNA from 1 species
AACUCUAAUAUCAAGGAAAUGAAAUUUCAGCCAAUGCUUAAGUUUCAUCAAAGUUAAUAGCAGGGUUCCCUUAGUGUGGACUGUGGAAAUUACUUCAGCAUUGCAGUUAACUCCAAGUGGAUAUAUCACACCAGUCCAGCAGAUCAUAAAUCGCAGGAAAGGGUAAGUGAUAACAGAGUUCACUGAAGGAUCUCAGUGCAUCCUAGUGACAGUAGCAAAGAGACUGG